CCGGCUUUAGCUCAGUUGGUAGAGCGGAGGACUGUAGUAUGGCUGUGAUCCUUAGGUCGCUGGUUCGAAUCCGGCAAGCCGGA
rnacentral:tRNA from 1 species